rnacentral:rRNA from 1 species
AUUGAACGCUGGCGGCAGGCCUAACACAUGCAAGUCGAGCGGGGUUUUCGGACCUAGCGGCGGACGGGUGAGUAAUGCGUAGGAAGCUACCCGAUAGAGGGGGAUACCAGUUGGAAACGACUGUUAAUACCGCCUAAUGUCUACGGACCAAAGUGUGGGACCUUCAGGCCACAUGCUAUCGGAUGUGCCUACGUGGGAUUAGCUAGUUGGUGCGGUAAUGGCUAACCAAGGGGACGAUCCCUAGCUGGUUUGGGAGGAUGAUCAGCCACACUGGAACUGAGACACGUUCCAGACUCCUACGGGAGGCAGCAGUGGUGAAUGUUGGACAAUGGGCGCAAGCCUGAUCCAGCCAUGCCGCGUGUGUGAAGAAGGCCUUCGGGUUGUAAAGCACUUUCAGUAAGGAGGAAGCGUUGAGUGUUAAUAGUACUCAGCGUUGACGUUACUUACAGAAGAAGCACCGGCUAACUCUGUGCCAGCCGCCGCAGUAACAC